rnacentral:rRNA from 1 species
UACGUAGGGUGCAAGCGUUGUCCGGAAUUAUUGGGCGUAAAGAGCUCGUAGGCGGUCUGUCGCGUCGGCUGUGAAAACCCGGAGCUCAACUCCGGGCCUGCAGUCGAUACGGGCAGACUGGAGUUCGGCAGGGGAGACUGGAAUUCCUGGUGUAGCGGUGAAAUGCGUAGAUAUCAAGUGGAACACCAGUGGCGAAGGCGAGUCUCUGGACAUUUCCUGACGCUGAGGCACGAAGGCCAGGGGAGCAAACGGG